UUGUUGGUAAGGUAAAGGCUUACCAAGGCUUCGAUCAGUAGCUGGUCUGAGAGGACGGCCAGCCACACUGGGACUGAGACACGGCCCAGACUCCUACGGGAGGCAGCAGUGGGGAAUUUUGGACAAUGGGGGAAACCCUGAUCCAGCCAUGCCGCGUGAGUGAAGAAGGCCUUCGGGUUGUAAAGCUCUUUCAGCCGGAACGAAACGGUUACGGAUAAUACCCGUGACUACUGACGGUACCGGAAGAAGAAGCACCGGCUAACUACGUGCCAGCAGCCGCGGUAAUACGUAGGGUGCGAGCGUUAAUCGGAAUUACUGGGCGUAAAGCGUGCGCAGGUGGUUUUGUAAGUCAGAUGUGAAAGCCCCGGGCUCAACCUGGGAACUGCGUUUGAAACUACAAGACUAGAGUGUGGCAGAGGGGGGUGGAAUUCCGCGUGUAGCAGUGAAAUGCGUAGAGAUGUGGAGGAACACCGAUGGCGAAGGCAGCCCCCUGGGUUAACACUGACACUCAGGCACGAAAGCAUGGGGAGCAAACAGGAUUAGAUACCCUGGUAGUCCAUGCCCUAAACGAUGUCAACUAGUUGUCGGGCCUUUACGGGCUUGGUAACGUAGCUAACGCGUGAAGUUGACCGCCUGGGGAGUACGAUCGCAAGAUUAAAACUCAAAUGAAUUGACGGGGACCCGCACAAGCGGUGGAUUAUGUGGAUUAAUUCGAUGCAACGCGAAAAACCUUACCUACCCUUGACAUGUAUCGAAGCCCGCAGAAAAGCGGGGGUGCCCGAAAGGGAACGAUAACACAGGUGCUGCAUGGCUGUCGUCAGCUCGUGUCGUGAGAUGUUGGGUUAAGUCCCGCAACGAGCGCAACCCUUAUCAUUAAUUGCCAUCAUUUAGUUGGGCACUUUAAUGAGACUGCCGG
rnacentral:rRNA from 1 species